CCUACGGGAGGCAGCAGUGGGGGAUAUUGCACAAUGGGGGAAACCCUGAUGCAGCGACGCCGCGUGGGUGAAGAAGUAUUUCGGUAUGUAAAGCCCUAUCAGCAGGGAAGAAAGACGACGGUACCUGACUAAGAAGCCCCGGCUAACUACGUGCCAGCAGCCGCGGUAAUACGUAGGGGGCGAGCGUUAUCCGGAUUCACUGGGUGUAAAGGGAGCGUAGACGGCCGUGCAAGCCAGGAGUGAAAGCCCGGGGCCCAACCCCGGGACUGCUCUUGGAACUGUGCGGCUGGAGUGCGGGAGGGGCAGGCGGAAUUCCUGGUGUAGCGGUGAAAUGCGUAGAUAUCAGGAGGAACACCGGCGGCGAAGGCGGCCUGCUGGACCGCGACUGACGUUGAGGCUCGAAAGCGUGGGGAGCGAACAGGAUUAGAUACCCUAGUAGUC
rnacentral:rRNA from 1 species